UAGGGAAUCUUCCGCAAUGGGCGAAAGCUUGACGGAGCAACGCCGCGUGAGUGAUGAAGGUCUUCGGAUCGUAAAACUCUGUUAUUAGGGAAGAACAAAUGUGUAAGUAACUAUGCACGUCUUGACGGUACCUAAUCAGAAAGCCACGGCUAACUACGUGCCAGCAGCCGCGGUAAUACGUAGGUGGCAAGCGUUAUCCUGCAUUAUUGGGCGUAAAGCGCGCGUAGGCGGUUUUUUAAGUCUGAUGUGAAAGCCCACGGCUCAACCGUGGAGGGUCAUUGGAAACUGGAAAACUUGAGUGCAGAAGAGGAAAGUGGAAUUCCAUGUGUAGCGGUGAAAUUCGCAGAGAUAUGGAGGAACACCAGUGGCGAAGGCGACGUUCUGGUCUGUAACUGACGCUGAUGUGCGAAAGCGUGGGGAUCAAACAGG
rnacentral:rRNA from 1 species